CGAAAAAAAACUCGAAAACCAAGCAAAUUGAGCCAAAUCAUAGAAUUAGACCAAACCGGUUCGAAUCGAACCGGAAUGGUCUAGAAGCCCCAAGAUUUUUUUUCUUUUCUUUUCUUUUCCUUUUUCUUUUUCCUUUUUUUCUUUUCCUUCUUUUUUUUCCCUUCUUCUUCCUUGCGCCAGCGCCAGGCGCACGACCUCCUCCUCCUCUUCUUUUUCCGACCACCGAAGACCAGGCCGUGCCUCCUCGCCAUCGCCUCCUCGCCGCAGCGAUUUCGGCCUUCUUCCUCCCCUCUCUUUCUUUGCUGGCGUACGCAACAGGCACUGGAGAGUCGCGACUUCCUUCGAUCGGGAAAUCGGGUCGAGCCUCCUGCUCCUUGACUUUCCAGCGACGCCGGCUUCUUUCUCGUCGACGAAGAAGCUCCGGUCCUGUCUCUCCUUCACUCUCUCCUUCACGUUUCGGCUGGCGCAGUGAACCAAAAAAAAUAAAAAUAAAAAAAAAAUAAAAGCUGCGAUCGCAAUUCGCAGUUGCGUUAUCUGCUCUCCUCUUCGAUUUUCCGGCAAGACCCACCACCAGCUAGCAGAACCAGCUCCUCCCUCGCUGUCAUCUUUUUACCCCACGUCACUGUUCCUUCCUCCGGCCAAAUUAGCGACGGCAGAAUCAGACUUUGCUCAUUGGAGCUGUUUCCGGUCACUUUUAUCCAAAAUAUUCAGUUUUUCGGUAUUUUCGCAACUGUAUAAGCAAUUUCCAACCUUUCUUUUAGUAAUGUAUGUUGUUUUUCGAAUUUGAUAGAAGGAUUGAGCAUAAAUCAAAGUUUAUGAAGGGAUUUUUAUUUCUAGCUUUUAUUCAUACUAUUUUAUUAGAGAAAUUUAAUUCUUCAUACUAAAUUUAGGCUAUAACUAAUUUAAUGAGCAAUUUAGUACAAUUAGGAUUAACUUCUCAAGUAAUGUUAAAAAUUACUUAGAUGAUUAUGGCUAUGAAUCAUGAUAUUGGAGGAAAAACUAGGUGCAAAGCUAAUGUUGAACAAAAUUCUAGGAGAAGUAUUUAUAUUGUUAUGCAAUUGAAGCUAUGAGUUGAAUCCUUAUAAAGUAAAGGUUAGAUUAUUGUUACAAUUGCUUCCGCAUUAUUAUAUUACUUGAACCUUGGGAAUGAUGGGAUGAGAAUUGAUGCGAUAAAUAAAUUUCUUGCCGAAUGGCGAAUUUGUUAGCAUGUAGGUUGUAGGUUUGAUUAGAAACUUGAUUUUUUGUAUUAGUACAAAGAAAGAAAGACACGAAUAAGUAUAUGCACGACUUAUGAGGUAUAUUCAUAUAAGUGUGUAGGAAGAGUUUAAGCUUGAAGUCUUAAAUGCCUAGGUACCAAUGAAAAGAUAUGGAAUAAGAAUUAAUCGUGAAAGUUAAUUAUGCACAN
rnacentral:lncRNA from 1 species